rnacentral:lncRNA from 1 species
CUCCUUAAGCUGUUUUAUGUNCUUCCUGAGUAGCUGGGAUUACAGGCGUGUGCCAAUGUGCCCAGCUCAGUCCUUCUGUUUGAUGUGCCCAAUUGUCCCUUAGUUUUUUCCCCCUUCUAAUCAGCUUUACAAUCUUCUACUUAUGUCCUUUCUUAUGACCCCACCCUGGCUUCUCUUAUAGCCUCCUCUGGGGUUGCCUCUGCUUACUCCUGUCAGCUGACGGGGGGGGGGCGGGGGGGGCUGGGCUCUGCCUCACACCUUGGGCUUCUCUGUUCCCUUUUCCCAAGGUUUCCUCAAGCCUCUUUGAAAAUCAGUGUCAUUCUUAAAAGGGACAGUUUAGAGUCCAUAGACCUACUUCAAAUCCAAAUGUCCCCACUUACCAGCUCUGUGACUUUGAAUAAACCUUUUUUUUUUUUUUUUUGUGGGGUGGGGGGUUGAACUCAGGGGCACUCAGCCACUGAGCCACAUCCCCAGCCCUUUUUAGUAUUUUAUUUAGAGGCAGGUCUCAUUGAGUUGCCUAGCACCUUGCCGUUGCUGAGACUGGCUUUCAACUCUUGAUCCUCCUGCCUCAGCCUCCCGAGCUGCUGGGAUAACAGGCGUGCACCGCCGUGCCCGGCCUUGAGCAAACCUCUUAACUGCUGUAAGCCUCAGUUCCCUCCAGUGUGACUGGGGCUCACUGUCUUAAGAAGCCUGUGGAUCAAGCAGAGUGUCUCCAGCUGCUUGUGGAUCCUAGAGAAAAGUGCUAUCUGGAGUCUUUGUUUUUGGAAGAUGACCCAUCAAUUGUGACAGAUAAAACCUCCAGCUCCUUCUAGCUCCUUCCUAGUGGGGGCUGAACUGCUCUGAAGACAAAAGCCAGAGACAUCUGAGCAGGAAGAGGGUGAGAACCCUGAAACAGGAGAGCAGGGGAGGGACAAGGGAGGGGCUGCUGCUCAUGGUGGCACACACUUAUAAUUCCAGCCCCUCUAGAGGCUGAGGCAGGAGGAUCACAAGUUCCAGGCCAGCCUGUCAGUUAGGCUCUAAGUAACUUAGAUGAUUUUUUGUUUUUGGUGGUUCUGGGGAUUGAACCCAGGGCCUUGUACAUGCAAGGCAAGCACUCUACCAACUGAGCUGUAUCCCCAGCCCAGGCUCUAAGUAACUUAGACCCUGUCUCAAAAAAUUGAAAAAAAAAAAUUAAAAGGGCUAGGGAUGCAACCCAGUGGCAAAGUGCCCCCGAGUUCCCUCCUCAGUAUAAAACAAAACAAAACAAAAACCGCCCUGAACCCCAGGGGAUCUGCUUUUUAAAUCUGAGCCACUUGCUAAAAAUAGCCCCACCUCUCUUCCCCCCAUGCCCCCCCAUCCCAAUUUUUCCCAACUUUUAGUAAAAUCCUCUUACAAGUUCUGCCUUAUAUUAGUCACAUUUUUUUUGGGGGGGGGAGGGAAUUAAGGAAAGGGCAGAGGACUGCCCAUCACAUGGACUCUCCUUGCCCCCAAGUCUGGUUUAGGUAGCAUCCUCCCUCUGUAGGUCUGCAGAAGAAAGAAGACCUGAGUGAACUCAUUUCCCCACAGAAUGGGAUGGAGAGGGAGGCAUCAGAGGAGAGGGAGCCCUCGCAGGCCGGGUCCCGCCAGUCGCAAGAGUCUUGGAAAGCAUGAGGCCGGGAUGGGGCGCUGCUUUUAUCUGAAUACCAGGGGGAAAAGUGACUUCCCAAACCCGAAAGGGACAUUAGGAGAGCAUUGGGAUCUGAGAAUUUAAUCUGAAGAUGUGCUUAAUGAAGGCUGCUAGCCCCAGGCUCAGGCAGAGGGAACUCUAGGAAAUUUGGGAGUUACUAUUUUUAAAAAAACCCAUUCCAACAGCCUAUUUUAUGGAUAGAAAGACGCGAAAAUCUCAUCAGAAGGCGGAGGCACACAGCUACAGCCUAUCUCCUUGAAGAUUUCCUUGGCGCCCAGGCCCUCCUCAGGGGACAGUGGUUUCUGGUGACAGGGGUCUAAGCAAGUACAAUCAGAUUGCUGUCAUUUGGAUUCUGAAGGUCCCACAAAGGCCCAGGCAUUGGAAUUGGGAACAGUGCCAGGCUGUGGCCUGUUGGGAAGUGAUAGAAUCUUCAGGAGGUGGGGCCUAGCGGAAGGUCCUGGAUGGCAUGCCCUUGGAGGGGAUAUUGGCAUCCUGGUCCCUCCUCUUCCUCUCUAUUUACUUCCUGGCUGCCAUGAAGUGACAGUGUCACCAUGCAUUCCCCACCAUGAUGUGCUUCCUCACUGAAGUCCCCAAAGGAACGGGGCCAAUGAACCGUGAAGUGAGCCAAAUAAACCUGUUCCCUUAUUAAGUGGAUUAUCUCAGGUAUUUUGUUACAGUAACAGAAAUCUGACUGAUAUCUGACCAUAUCUGGUAAUGACCAUUUUGUUCAUUCAUUUGUUUACUUAUAUUUGUAGUACUGGCGAUUGAAACCAAGGCCUUGUGCAUACUAGGCAAGCACUCUACCCCUGAGCUCCAACCCUGGCCUAUUUAUUAUUUAUUGGUCUGGAGAUUAAAUUCAGGGAGCUUCACCACUGAGCUACAUCCCUAGUCCUUUUUAUUUUUCAUUUUGAGACAAGAUCUCACUAAGUUGCUGAGAAACUAGCUACUUUACUGAGGCUGGCCUUGAACUUGUGAUCCUCCUGCCUCAGCCUCUUGAGAUGCUGAUAUUACAGGCAUGUGCCACCAUGCGGGGUUGGAAAUAUCCAUUUAGAAAAUUGUUAUCCUCCAUUACUAUGAUUUUAAAUAACAUUGAUUUUCUUCCUCUGUGUUCCCAGAACACCUUCUGUCUAUCUCCACUCAUCUGCCACCGAGCGCCAAUCUUGGAUAACUGUAUUUCUAUUUAGAUGUAAGAAAUCUGGCUGAUUUAACAUGUGUUUUGCAGAAAUAGAAUUGUUAUUUUGUGGUUCCAUUGCGUAUUCGGUCUCUCUUCCUCCAAUUUUGCUGUGAGCUCUUUGAGUCAGAAAUCAAACGGACAGUUCUCCUCUGGCUCCUCUACCUCGCACACCACCGAUGUGUCUGUCGCUGCUGAGGGUGUUAAUUCUGUUGGGCUCACAAAACAAUACUCCAAAGCCAGGCACUUGGACAUGCUGGGUACUUUGAACUAAAAAAAGCAGCCUCAGAACCAGGGUCUCUCUGACUUUCUCCCCGUCCCCUGUCUUUUGCUCCCCCCUCCCCUAAGUGCUGGGAGGGGCCGUCUCUGAAGCUCCGUGGGUGUCCACCUGAGGGCCGCAUCCUCUGGAGGACCAGCUCUCAGCACAGAGGACUAGAGCGACCUCACAUCCACAGUCCACACGGACUCUGUCCCAGGCUUUUUUUUUUGGCUCAUUCAUUUCCCGAAAAUACUUUCCUUUUUUUCUGUUUUGCCUACACCCCGUCUCCCCUGCCAGAAGGUAUAGAAGCUUCUAACUUGCAUCAGGUUAUCCGGUCCCCACUCUCCCAGGAUGCAGUAAACCUGUGUGCCUUUUCUACGAAUCUACUGCCAUUUAUUUAAUGAGACUGUUAUUGAACCUUCAGAGGGUACAGGGGAUGCCCCUUCUGCCCCUGAAGUGCCCUGAAGAUCCACCGUUGGGGGGGGGGCCUGAGGGCCACACCCGGGCAGAAGGGGCUGGGGCUUCGCUUGUGUCUUCACUUUAGUCUCCCGGGGUGUCGGAGCUGCACGGAUGUGGCAGAGUGGAGAAGGGUGGGCAGUGUCCAGCUGAGGGACACCCUGGGCCCUGGGAGCUGUGUCGAUGGGUCCCAAAGCCUACUCACGAGAUCUCUGCAAGAGACGUGGUUCCUCACUGGAGAAGUUCCUAUAUGGGAGUCACAGAGGAUCAUUGAAGUGUGGAGGCUGGACAUCUUCUCCACUGGAAAGGACCUCAAGUUCAUCACCUUCAACUCUCACCCACUGCAAGAAUCUCUGACAAGUUUCAUCCAGUCUUUAUUUGAAUGCCUUCAACGACAGAGAGUUCAAUACCAAUAAAACAGGGCUUUUGGUGACUUAAUCAUCUUUAUUCUCUCCACGUCCUCUUUUUU